rnacentral:rRNA from 1 species
ACGGUCCUAUGGAUUGUAAACUGCUUUUAUACGAGAAGAAACACUGCUUCGUGAAGCAGCUUGACGGUAUCGUAAGAAUAAGGAUCGGCUAACUCCGUGCCAGCAGCCGCGGUAAUACGGAGGAUCCAAGCGUUAUCCGGAAUCAUUGGGUUUAAAGGGUCCGUAGGCGGUUUAAUAAGUCAGUGGUGAAAGCCCAUCGCUCAACGGUGGAACGGCCAUUGAUACUGUUAAACUUGAAUUAUUAGGAAGUAACUAGAAUAUGUAGUGUAGCGGUGAAAUGCUUAGAGAUUACAUGGAAUACCAAUUGCGAAGGCAGGUUACUACUAAUGGAUUGACGCUGAUGGACGAAAGCGUGGGUAGCGAACAGGAUUAGAUACCCUGGUAGUCCACGCCGUAAACGAUGGAUACUAGCUGUUGGAAGCAAUUUCAGUGGCUAAGCGAAAGUGAU